rnacentral:rRNA from 1 species
UAACUGUCUCUCACGGGCAAUCGGUGAAAUUGAUCUCCCUGUACAAAAGCAGGGAUAACCCCAUAAGACGAGAAGACCCUGUGGAACUUCAAAAACAGCAACCACCCCAAAUUACAUUCACCCCCACCCCGGGCGCACUAUUCCUAAAGCACUGGUUUGCAUUUUUUCGGUUGGGGCAACCUUGGAGCAAAACAAAACCUCCAAAAAUUGGACCAUCCAUCCAGACUAAGAGCGACAUCUCAACGUGCUAACAGCACCCAGACCCAAUAUAAUUGAUCAAUGGACCAAGCUACCCCAGGGAUAACAGCGCAAUCUCCCCCAAGAGUCCAUAUCGACGGGGAGGUUUACGACCUCGAUGUUGGAUCAGGACAUCCUAGUGGUGCAGCAGCUACUAAGGGUUCGUUUGUUCAACGAUUAACAGUCCUACGUGAUCUGAGUUCAGACCGGAGCAAUCCAGGUCGGUUUCCAUCUAUGACGAACUCUUCCCCGUACGAAAGGAUCGGAAAAGUGAGGCCAAUACCACAAGCACGCCUUCGCCAUAAGUAAUGAAGCCAACUCAAUUACGAAAGGCUAUCACACUCCCCCACGUCCUAGAAAAGG